GCCGGGGUGGUGGAACGGUAUACACAGGGCACUCAAAAUGCUCCGCCUGAAAGGGUAUGCGGGUUCGAAUCCCGCCCUCGGCA
rnacentral:tRNA from 1 species